rnacentral:lncRNA from 7 species
AUCGGUUCUUGCGAGGGAGGCAGCACGUGCGCGCCUUCUCAGUUUGUUCGGCGCCGUUAUGCUGUAGAGCGGCAGUUGUGGUCACGAGCGUGCAGUCGUGCGCGCCUGAGGAGGCUUGUGGUGAAGGCGAAGCGCUGUGUCUGCGCCCGCUGAGGUUAUUUCUGAGUUAUUCCACGCUUCACAACGUGUGCGCAGAGUUAAUUGCAGUAAAGGAAUGAGAGAAGAAAUAUAUGGAGUGAACACUGUUGCCAUGCAGAGCUGAAUGAAGAAAGCAGCGAUGUCUCCUGCUAACAGUUUUUCUAGUUUAAUAUGCAUUCAUCUUUGCUUUAUUCAGAAGAAUGCAUAAUGACAAUCAUCAAACUAGUUGCAAGCUGUUUGUGACAACAAAUUUCAAUUACUGUCUUAGAGUGUCAGCUUAUUGCAUCAGAAUAACCACUGUGUGACAUUCAUUUUAAUUGUCUUUCUUAUUUUUACUUAACCUUUAUCAACGUAAUAAAAUGGAGAAGGAAAAAAGAAGAACUAAUUUUUUUUCUUAAAGACUACAGAAGAGGGUAAAGCAGAGGAUGGAAAUGCAAGAAACAGCUAUCAACUUAUGAAACACCACUGUAAGAGAGUGCAUGCAUGGAGACUGGCUGGUGUUUGCUUGCUGUCCUGAUCAAAAUGGUUUCCAUAUAAUCAUCUGAUUGGAUAUUUCUGCAGCUUGACACUGAAUUAUUCAUUACAUGAAAAGGACCGUCUGGUCUUCUUUUGUCAUAAGCAGGGCUUUGAUUGAGGUUAUAAUAAAAGCUUAGCCAAUGAUUCCGCAUACC